GUUCUAUCGUACUUUAGAUCAUUCUGGAACCAUUGAGCCCACCGUUUUCAACUCUUUCAUCUUUUCCUAUUCUCUCCUCUUAUAAAUUAUUUCCUUCUCUGCAAGCAACAACGCCUUCACUCCCUUUCCUCACAGCCUGCCCUCCGCCAAGAAGUUGUCAAACGUAUCCUAUGGAUUCUAAAAAAGGGGACACCGGAAAACCUGCAUUAGCCGCAAAUGUUGCUUCAUGUCGAAAGAAGAAGAAUGAAGAAGCCAGUUUUAUGGAGGACUUGAAAGAUCACAUUGACGAGUUUAUUCAUGCUUCUAUGGAUGAGCAUAAAACUUGCUUCAAGAAAACAGUUCAGAAGAUGUUUGGUAUGUCCAAGGCUGUUGCGGAGAGGAACACUGACGCCCCCAAAGAAGUUGAAAGUUCUCUGCCUCUUCAGACAACUUUGGAAGGAUUACAGAAGAGUACCAUUGGAGAGAUACAACACCAAUGAGACCUGAGUCUAACCACAUAAGACACUGACACCACUCUCAACCCAAAAUCUUAAGAACGACGCUGACGAGCUUGGUGUGUGGGUUGUGUUGAUGUGGUGAAGACGCUUUAUUCUCUUUGGUUAGCAAUUCGGGUAAAAUGUCGUUCACCCGUAAUAAACUAAUCUAAUUCAAAAUUACCCAAAAUUUACUAAUCCAAAUUGUUAAUUGGUCGGAUUUAGAUUUAAAAUAAUAAUUUCGGGUUGUGUAUGAUUAAUCGUGUUUGGAUCCGAAUUGCUUAGUCUGGGUAGAGAAGACAAAAAGCAAAAUAGAGAUGAGAGACAUGUUUCAUUUUAGAAGAGCAACACUAAUCGAUUUGUAGAAAGUUACGCGUCAGUCAGUGUUCCAUGUUCACCUUGUAGAGAGCCAUAUGUUUCUCUUCUAGAGGGUCAAAUCCCUUGGUUUCCUUUUGUUUUUUUUAUAGAUUUUGAAGUGUUUUAUUUUAUUUUAUUUUCUGAAAAAUUUGUGUAGGCCAUGUGUAAUUCUUUUUGGGUGUUAUCUUAUUUUGUAUAUUUUAAUAAAUUUGAACUUUUGAAGGA